rnacentral:lncRNA from 1 species
CUGUAGAUGCUUCCCAAAUUUCCUCUUUGGUGAAACAAGCAUUUGUGCAGGUUCCCCAUAAAAAUGACUGAUUUGGGUUUUACCAGGAGCUCUGGCACUUCUCCACUACAAGAAAGAAUUGCAUUUAUAGAGAGGUUUAUCAAGAUGGGAAUAGUGAAACAAACAUUUUUAAUGUCCAGCAGAAUCCUCUGUCUUCCCCCAAACAAGCCUCCCUGGGCAGGAAUUUCAGCCACUCUGGAAUGGAAGCCUCCUGGAAGGAAUCUGCUUCCCUGUGGGACUGCCCAGCUUUCAGCCCUGCUGCUGGGGGAAGAGUUCACCAUAGGACUGCUCAUGUAUCUGCUCUGGUUUGGAACUGAGUGUGCCAUCAAAUGUAGGACUGCUGGAGCCCGUGGGGCUGGAGCAGGUGCUGAUGUUGGCCAGGCUGGUGGGACCCCAGGAGGAGAACCCUGAGCCAAUUCCCUUGCUGUCCCACAGGCAGCAGUGAAGUGCCACCAUGAUUGCAAUGAGCCUGGUGGGCUGUAAAAUAAAGAUUAAUCCUUCCUCA